rnacentral:lncRNA from 1 species
AGGUCUACAGUAUUGAGAGACAGAAAGUCAAGAAGUUCUGGACCUGCCAGGAAUUCCCACUGUGGAAACAAAUCCACCCUCCUUACUUCCUGGAGAGGGGCAAUUCCUUCAGGAAGGUCUUCCAUGAGCCUUACAUCAGACUUUGUCCUGAACUCCACCCACAGCUCCCCUGUCUGAGCGUGUCCCAUUUUCUCUGGACCUCUUUCAUCUCCAGUCCCAGACCAGCAUCCUCCUGCAUGUGCUUCUGAAAGUACAGGCCACUGUCUGUUCUGCUCUCCCUUCUCAAAUCUGCCCAGAUCUCAGCUGUCCCCCAUGGUCCUUAUCAAACUCCCAUCUACAGCCUCUAGAAAGUGACUUCUGAUCAUUUCCUCUAUCGUGGCCCUGAAUGGCAGUCACAUGUACCCUUCAUCUGUUUGGCUCUUGCCCCCUGCCAGACCCAGCAGCAAUUCCAUGCCCCUGUCUUUCUGGAUCUCAGCUCGAGAGGAGUUUGAGGUGCGUGGCUUGAUUUUCGCCCAUCAUUCUGUCCUGUCUGGCUUGCAUGCCUUACCUUUUCUUCACAGGAAAUCCCAUCAUUCA